rnacentral:rRNA from 1 species
ACGGGUGAGUAAUGUCUGGGAAACUGCCUGAUGGAGGGGGAUAACUACUGGAAACGGUAGCUAAUACCGCAUAAUGUCGCAAGACCAAAGAGGGGGACCUUCGGGCCUCCUGCCAUCGGAUGUGCCCAGAUGGGAUUAGCUAGUAGGUGGGGUAACGGCUCACCUAGGCGACGAUCCCUAGCUGGUCUGAGAGGAUGACCAGCCACACUGGAGCUGAGACACGGUCCAGACUCCUACGGGAGGCAGCAUG